UACGUAGGGUGCAAGCGUUGUCCGGAAUUAUUGGGCGUAAAGAGCUUGUAGGCGGUUUGUCGCGUCUGCUGUGAAAAUUUUCGGGGCUCAACCCCGAACUUGCAGUGGGUACGGGCAGACUAGAGUGUGGUAGGGGAGACUGGAAUUCCUGGUGUAGCGGUGAAAUGCGCAGAUAUCAGGAGGAACACCGAUGGCGAAGGCAGGUCUCUGGGCCACUACUGACGUGAGAAGCGAAAGCAUGGGGAGCGAACAGG
rnacentral:rRNA from 1 species